CGGACGGGUGAGUAAUGUCUGGGAAACUGCCCGAUGGAGGGGGAUAACUACUGGAAACGGUAGCUAAUACCGCAUAACGUCGCAAGACCAAAGAGGGGGACCUUAGGGCCUCUUGCCAUCGGAUGUGCCCAGAUGGGAUUAGCUAGUAGGUGGGGUAAUGGCUCACCUAGGCGACGAUCCCUAGCUGGUCCGAGAGGAUGACCAGCCACACUGGAACUGAGACACGGUCCAG
rnacentral:rRNA from 1 species